GCCAAGACCCUCGGGCAGCGGGGUAGCCCGGCGAGGGCAGCGGCGGUGGGCAGCGCUGCCCCCGCCUCCCCACACCACGGCCCGCGGGAUCCGCGCCCGCGGGGCCGGGGGGAGCCUCCCCGCGGCGUGGGGUUUACCCUCACUCCCCAUUCCUGCUCCGCCGCUGCCCCCUCCCCACAGCCUCCCCCCCCCCCCCCCCGCCCUGUGAUGCUAUUUUAUGCACGAACUUUUCUCCGCACGCGGGAGCAGCGCCGGCCCCGCGGAGCCUCCGCGCCCUCCACUCCUUCCGCACAGGGAAAACAGUUUGGCUCCAUUGUCGGGUUGCCAAGACCGCCUUUUGAGAAAGGGAGCCCGGCUAGCCUCUGAUCAAACUCAAAGGUAACAACACAUUGCUAAUUAACUGGUGAUGACAUUUCCAAGGGAAAAAGAAAAAAAAAAUUAAAAAGAAAAGCCACCUGUAUGUGAAAUAAAGACAGUCAAGAGAAGGGAAGACAUCAAUCGGUGUUCAUAAUCGUGGAAAUCAACUCCCUUUUAUCAUUGUGGUCUGAAUAGAAGAGAAUUUGUUUGAUUUGUUAUUGAAUAAACAAUAAUUCAUGUGUGCA